UUGCCUCAGUACGGCGAGUGAAGCGGCAACAGCUCAAAUUUGAAAUCUGGCCUCUUUGGGGUCCGAGUUGUAAUUUGUAGAGGAUGUUUCGGGUACCGCCCCGGUCUAAAUUUCUUGGAACAGAAUGUCAUAGAGGGUGAGAAUCCCGUCUUGGACCGGCGGUAGGGCCCAUGUGAAACUCCUUCGACGAGUCGAGUUGUUUGGGAAUGCAGCUCAAAUUGGGUGGUAAAUUUCAUCUAAAGCUAAAUACCUGCCAGAGACCGAUAGCGCACAAGUAGAGUGAUCGAAAGAUGAAAAGCACUUUGAAAAGAGAGUUAAACAGUAUGUGAAAUUGUUGAAAGGGAAGCGCUUACAACCAGACUUGAGCGCGGCGGUUCCCCCUUCCUUCUGGUUGGGUUAUUCCGUCGUGUCCAGACCAACAUCGGUUCUGGGGGCCGGUUAAAGGCUCUGGGAAUGUACCUACUCCUUCGGGUGUAGACUUAUAGCCCAGGGUGUCAUGCGGCCUCCCGGAACCGAGGAACGCGCUUCGGCUCGGAUGUUGGUGCAAUGGUUGUCAGCGACCCGUCUU
rnacentral:rRNA from 1 species